CCUUCGAAACCCUUCACUCUUGGUUCUGAAGCUCCUUUGUUUCUUUCUCCCUUUCUCCCUCCGUUUCUUUCAUUCACAGAAACUCAGCCAAAAAACCCUAGCAUUGUAAGCCUAUACCACCGCCGCCGCAAGGAGUGGCAUACUGCUGCCGUCCGUCCGUCUAUCUAGCUUCCCUCGUGCUCCAAGUCUUCAACCCCCAUUCGCUGUCACCGAUCGCAGCUGCUUCCUCGAGCUCGGCGUCCGUCAUCUUUGUCUGCUCAGCCGCGCUUCCGCCGCCGUUGGUUGUCGUUAACGUUCGCGUCUUCGUUCAGCCUUUGCUCGGCGUUCACCGUUCGCGUUCACUCGCCGUUCACCGUUCGCAUUCGCGUUCAUCUGGAAGCCACGUUGCGCUGCUUCAAACUC